GAUGAACGCUGGCGGCGUGCCUAAUACAUGCAAGUCGAGCGAACAGACGAGGAGCUUGCUCCUCUGACGUUAGCGGCGGACGGGUGAGUAACACGUGGAUAACCUACCUAUAAGACUGGGAUAACUUCGGGAAACCGGAGCUAAUACCGGAUAAUAUAUUGAACCGCAUGGUUCAAUAGUGAAAGACGGUUUUGCUGUCUCUUAUAGAUGGAUCCGCGCCGCAUUAGCUAGUUGGUAAGGUAACGGCUUACCAAGGCAACGAUGCGUAGCCGACCUGAGAGGGUGAUCGGCCACACUGGAACUGAGACACGGUCCAGACUCUUACGGGAGGCAGCAGUAGGGAAUCUUCCGCAAUGGGCGAAAGCCUGACGGAGCAACGCCGCGUGAGUGAUGAAGGUCUUCGGAUCGUAAAACUCUGUUAUUAGGGAAGAACAAAUGUGUAAGUAACUAUGCACGUCUUGACGGUACCUAAUCAGAAAGCCACGGCUAACUACGUG
rnacentral:rRNA from 1 species